rnacentral:rRNA from 1 species
AUUGAACGCUGGCGGCAUGCCUUACACAUGCAAGUCGAACGGCAGCACGGGAGCAAUCCUGGUGGCGAGUGGCGAACGGGUGAGUAAUAUAUCGGAACGUGCCCAGUCGUGGGGAUAACGUAGCGAAAGCUACGCUAAUACCGCAUACGAUCUAUGGAUGAAAGCGGGGGAUCGCAAGACCUCGCGCGAUUGGAGCGGCCGAUAUCAGAUUAGGUAGUUGGUGAGGUAAAGGCUCACCAAGCCGACGAUCUGUAGCUGGUCUGAGAGGACGACCAGCCACACUGGGACUGAGACACGGGCCCCAGACUCCUACGGGGGGCAGCAGUGGGGAAUUUUGGACAAUGGGCGCAAGCCUGAUCCAGCAAUGCCGCGUGCAGGAUGAAGGCCUUC